GCGGAAGUAGUUCAGUGGUAGAACAUCACCUUGCCAAGGUGGGGGUCGGAGGUUCGAAUCCCGUCUUCCGCUCCA
rnacentral:tRNA from 1 species